GAGGGUGUACUCUUAUUGGCAUUGUGUCUAUUAUUCCCUCCCUAUUGGAAGUGCAUUUUGCCAUUUUGGCCGUGUCUCGUUGAUCAGUAAUAGCAAUUUUACGAUUCGCAAAAAAAAUAGCAAUUUUACAAGUAGACAAAUUCGUAGGCAAUGUUUCGGACGGUCAAUAACAAAACAAUAUAUAAUGUUUUUUCCCGAUAAUUAGGACAUUUUCGUUUGAGCCGCAGGUUUUAAUGUUUUCUAAAAAGCUGCUGCUGCAUUUGUCUUCUGAAAAGUUAACGCUAACUUCUAGAAUACAUGUU
rnacentral:lncRNA from 1 species